CAAUAGCGUAUAUUAAAGUUGUUGCAGUUAAAAAGCUCGUAGUUGGAUUUCGGGGUGGCCUGCCUGGUCCACCGCAAGGUGAGUACUGGUCAGCCGCCCUUCCUCUCGAAAGCCCCGACUGCUCUUCAUUGCAGUGGUCGGGUAGUUCGGGACGUUUACUUUGAAAAAAUUAGAGUGUUCAAGGCAGGCCGUCGCCUGAAUACAUUAGCAUGGAAUAAUGGAAGAGGACCUCGGUCCUAUUUUGUUGGUUUCUAGGGCCGAAGUAAUGAUUAAGAGGGACAGUUGGGGGCAUUCGUAUUUAAUUGUCAGAGGUGAAAUUCUUGGAUUUAUGAAAGACGAACUAGUGCGAAAGCAUUUGCCAAGGAUGUUUUCAUUGA
rnacentral:rRNA from 1 species